rnacentral:rRNA from 1 species
UACGAAGGGUGCAAGCGUUAUUCGGAAUCAUUGGGCGUAAAGCGCGCGCAGGCGGAUCAGCAAGUCAGAUGUGAAAUCUCGGGGCUCAACCCCGAAACUGCGUCUGAAACUGCUAGUCUAGAAUGUCGGAGGGGGCAGGGGAAUUUCACGUGUAGGGGUAAAAUCCGUAGAGAUGUGAAGGAACACCGGAGGCGAAGGCGCCUGCCUGGACGACUAUUGACGCUGAGGCGCGAAAGCGUGGGGAGCAAACAGG